UGCAGUCGAGGGGCAGCAUGGUGUAGCAAUACACUGAUGGCGACCGGCAAACGGGUGCGGAACACGUACGCAACCUUCCCAAAACUGGUGAAUAGCCCUCCGAAAGGAGGAUUAAUACACCGUAACAUAAUGAUGUGGCAUCACAUUAUUAUUAUAGCUCCGGCGGUUUUGGAUGGGCGUGCGACUGAUUAGGUAGUUGGCGGGGUAACGGCCCACCAAGCCCACGAUCAGUAACUGGUGUGAGAGCACGACCAGUCACACGGGCACUGAGACACGGGCCCGACUCCUACGGGAGGCAGCAGUAAGGAAUAUUGGUCAAUGGACGAAAGUCUGAACCAGCCAUGCCGCGUGAAGGAUGAAGGUCCUCUGGAUUGUAAACUUCUUUUAUAUGGGACGAAAAAAGGGAAUUCUUUCUCACUUGACGGUACCAUAGGAAUAAGCACCGGCUAACUCCGUGCCAGCAGCCGCGGUAAAA
rnacentral:rRNA from 1 species